rnacentral:rRNA from 1 species
UACGUAGGGGGCUAGCGUUGUCCGGAAUCAUUGGGCGUAAAGCGCGUGUAGGCGGUCCGGGAAGUCCGCUGUGAAAGUCGGGGGCUCAACCCUCGGAUGCCGGUGGAUACUGUCGGGCUUGAGUACGGAAGAGGCGAGUGGAAUUCCUGGUGUAGCGGUGAAAUGCGCAGAUAUCAGGAGGAACACCAAUUGCGAAGGCAGCUCGCUGGGACGUUACUGACGCUGAGACGCGAAAGCGUGGGGAGCAAACAGG